AUUGAACGCUAGCGGGAUGCUUUACACAUGCAAGUCGAACGGAGUGGCGGACGGGUGAGUAAUAUAUCGGAACGUGCCCAGUAGCGGGGGAUACCUACUCGAAAGAGUGGCUAAUACCGCAUACUCUUGGAGCGGCCGAUAUCGGCUUGGAUAGUGGGUGGGGUAAAGGCUCACCCAGGCAACGAUCCGUAGCUGGUUUGAGAGGACGACCAGCAACACUGGAACUGAGACACGGACCAGACUCCUACGGGAGGCAGCAGUGGGGAAUUUUGGACAAUGGGGGAAACCCUGAUGCAGCCAUCCCGCGUGUAUGAUGAAGGCCUUCGGGUUGUAAAGUACUUUUGGCAGAGAAGAGGUAUCUGCAGAAUAAGCACCGGCUAACUACGUGCCAGCAGCCGCGGUAAUAC
rnacentral:rRNA from 1 species